rnacentral:rRNA from 1 species
CCUACGGGGGGCAGCAGUGGGGAAUAUUGGACAAUGGGGGGAACCCUGAUCCAGCCAUGCCGCGUGUGUGAAGAAGGCCCUCGGGUUGUAAAGCACUUUCAGUGAGGAAGAACGCCUGGUGGUUAAUACCCAUCAGGAAAGACAUCACUCACAGAAGAAGCACCGGCUAACUCCGUGCCAGCAGCCGCGGUAAUACGGAGGGUGCGAGCGUUAAUCGGAAUUACUGGGCGUAAAGCGCGCGUAGGUGGCUUGAUAAGCCGGUUGUGAAAGCCCCGGGCUCAACCUGGGAACGGCAUCCGGAACCGUCAAGCUAGAGUGCAGGAGAGGAAGGUAGAAUUCCCGGUGUAGCGGUGAAAUGCGUAGAGAUCGGGAGGAAUACCAGUGGCGAAGGCGGCCUUCUGGACUGACACUGACACUGAGGUGCGAAAGCGUGGGUAGCAAACAGGAUUAGAUACCCUAGUAGUC